CUGGCUGAUGAGACCAAGGCGAAUGCGACUGUGCCUGCUGACCCUUGGCUUCCGGGGGUGGGAGGGUGGGGAGUGUGUGAUGAGAUCUGAAAUCUUAGUGGGAGUACCUGAGACCUGCCUCCCCCGCUGUAAGGCCAGAUCACUAGCAUUGCUGGCCUUGCCUCCAUGUCUGCUGCCACCACAGUUCCUGGCAGCAUCCUGGAGGGAGGCCCACAAGGGGUGGUCAAAGUGUGAGCGGCUCUGUGAGCGCAACCUUGAAUCUGACA